AUUGAACGCUAGCGGGAUGCCUUACACAUGCAAGUCGAACGGAGUGGCGAACGGGGGAGUAAUGUAUCGGAACGUGCCCAGUAGCGGGGGAUAACUACGCGAAAGCGUAGCUAAUACCGCCUACUAUUGGAGCGGCCGUUAUAGGAUUAGCUAGGUGGUGGGGUAACGGCUCACCAAGGCGACGAUCCGUAGCUGGUUUGAGGGGACGACCAGCCACACUGGGACGGAGACACGGCCCAGACUCCUACGUGAGGCAGCAGUGGGGAAGUUUGGACAAUGGGGGAAACCCUGAUCCAGCCAUCCCGCGUGUGCGAUGAAGGCCUGCGGGUUGUAAAGCACUUUUGGCAGGAAAGCGGUACCUGCAGAAUAAGCACCGGCUAACUACGUGCCAGCAGCCGCGGUAAUUC
rnacentral:rRNA from 1 species